UACGGGGGGAGCAAGCGUUGUUCGGAUUUACUGGGCGUAAAGGGCGCGUAGGCGGUGCAACAAGUCACUUGUGAAAUCUCCGGGCUUAACCCGGAGCGGCCAAGUGAUACUGUCGUGCUAGAGUGCGGAAGGGGCUACUGGAAUUCUCGGUGUAGCGGUGAAAUGCGUAGAUAUCGAGAGGACCACCUGCGGCGAAGGCGGGUAGCUGGGCCGACACUGACGCUGAGGCGCGAAAGCCAGGGGAGCGAACGGG
rnacentral:rRNA from 1 species